GGGCCCGCACAAGCGGUGGAGCAUGUGGUUUAAUUCGAUGCAACGCGAAGAACCUUACCAGGACUUGACAUACUACAAAUUCUUUUGAGAAAAAGAAGUGCCUUCGGGAAUGUAGAUACAGGUGGUGCAUGGCUGUCGUCAGCUCGUGUCGUGAGAUGUUGGGUUAAGUCCCGCAACGAGCGCAACCCUUAUUUUUAGUUACCAAUUCGUUGGGUUCUCUAGAAAGACUGCCGGUGACAAACCGGAGGAAGGUGAGGAUGACGUCAAGUCAGCAUGCCCCUUAUGUCCUGGGCUACACACGUGCUACAAUGGUUAAGACAAAGAGUCGCGAGCUCGUGAGAGCUAGCAAAUCCCAUAAACCGUGGCUCAGUUCAGAUCGUAGGCUGCAACUCGCCUACGUGAAGGAGGAAUCGCUAG
rnacentral:rRNA from 1 species